rnacentral:sRNA from 1 species
CACCGCCUGGGGAGUACGACCGCAAGGUUAAAACUCAAAUGAAUUGACGGGGACCCGCACAAGUAGUGGAGCAUGUGGUUUAAUUCGAAGAUACGCGCAGAACCUUACCAACACUUGACAUGUUCGUCGCGACUUUAAGAGAUUAAAGUUUUCGGUUCGGCCGGACGAAACACAGGUGCUGCAUGGCUGUCGUCAGCUCGUGUCGUGAGAUGUUGGGUUAAGUCCCGCAACGAGCGCAACCCUCACUUUUAGUUGCCAUCAUUUAGUUGGGCACUCUGAAAGAACUGCCAGUGAUAAGCUGGAGGAAGGUGGGGAUGACGUCAAGUCCUCAUGGCCCUUACGUGUUGGGCUACACACGUGCUACAAUGGUAUCUACAACAGGAAGCAAGACGGCAACGUUAAGCAAAUCCUAAAAAGAUACCUCAGUUCGGAUUGCACUCUGCAACUCGAGUGCAUGAAGCUGGAAUUACUAGUAAUCGUGGAUCAGCGCGCCACGGUGAAUGCGUUCCCGGGUCUUGUACACACCGCCCGUCACACCAUGGAAGUUGGUUACACCUUAAAGCAAAGCAUAAAACCUUUGACUACGGUACGAUCAGCGACUGGGGUGAAGUCGUAACAAGGUAGCCGUAGGGGAACCUGCGGCUGGAUCACCUCCCUUCUAAGGAAAUCGAAAAAUAUUAAAACAAUUAUUUUCGAUUUAAAAAAAAUCGGUAAUGUGACCGUCCUCAUUUCUCUUCUUUUAAUGUCUCUGAGUAUAAAGCAAGGGCCGGUAGCUCAGGUGGUUAGAGCGCACCCCUGAUAAGGGUGAGGUCGGAAGUUCGAGUCUUCCUCGGCCCACCAAUAUUAUGGGGGAUUAGCUCAGCUGGGAGAGCGCCUGAUUUGCAUUCAGGAGGUCAGCGGUUCGAUCCCGCUAUCCUCCACCAAAAAAUUUGAGACAUUUAGCUUUUUUAAAUAGUAAAUAUAAUUAAUAUCAAUAUCUAUAUCCGAUUAUUUUCGAAUAUUUUUAUGAAAAUAAUCACAACAAAAAUUUGAAUUUUACGCAGAAAGUUUUUUUCUG